rnacentral:rRNA from 1 species
UUUUUAAGUGAUCUCAUAUGAGAUCACUGAUAGGUAAUGGGUUAAGCAACAUCGAGCCUGGUUAGUACUUAGAUAGGUGACCGCUUGGGAAACCUAGGUGCUGUAAGCA